GGGAGUGUGGCUCAGUGGUAGAGCACUUACUGGGCAUGUGUGAGGUCUUGAGUUUGAGCCUCAGCACUACCA
rfam:Ictidomys tridecemlineatus contig080034, whole genome shotgun sequence.